CGGUGGAUGAUGUGGUUUAAUUCGAUGCAACGCGAAAACCUUACCCACCUUUGACAUGGCAGGAAUCCCGAAGAGAUUGGGAGUGCUCGAAAGAGAACCUGCACACAGGUGCUGCAUGGCUGUCGUCAGCUCGUGUCGUGAGAUGUUGGGUUAAGUCCCGCAACGAGCGCAACCCUUGCCAUUAGUUGCUACGAAAGGGCACUCUAAUGGGACUGCCGGUGACAAACCGGAGGAAGGUGGGGGAUGACGUCAAGUCCUCAUGGCCCUUAUAGGUGGGGCUACACACGUCAUACAAUGGCCGGUACAGAGGGUAGCCAACCCGCGAGGGGGAGCCAAUCCCACAAAGCCGGUCGUAGUCCGGAUCGCAGUCUGCAACUCGACUGCGUGAAGUCGGAAUCGCUAGUAAUCGCGGAUCAGCAUGUCCGCGGUCGAUACGUUCCGGGUCUU
rnacentral:rRNA from 1 species